rnacentral:tRNA from 1 species
GUGGCAAAGGCUCAGUUGGUAGAGCAGUUGACUUUUAAUCAAUUGGUCGCAGGUUCGAAUCCUGCACGACCCACCA